GUAGGGGGAGGUUGGCGGUAUCACUGGUACUGUGGAAAUGGCUGCCAGCAGUACCAGACAUGCCGCCCCUCUCCCCCUACAA